AAUUAUGGUGGGCUGGGCAGGGGUCCGAAAGGACGCCGGUACCACUUAGGCCGGUACGCCAACCUUGUCCAGUUCACCACCAGU
rnacentral:antisense_RNA from 16 species